rnacentral:tRNA from 1 species
GGGCCCGUAGCUCAGCAAGGAUAGAGCGGCGGCCUCCUAAGCCGCAGGUCGAGGGUUCGAGUCCCUCCGGGCCCGCCA